UUUACUUCCUUGCUGGACUAAGUGCCUUUUAACCACCUGUGGAUUGUUUUGAUAUCUUUUUUGAUAGUCUGACUCUUUGUCCAUCGGACGCAGUGAACGCCUCACCCGAGCUGACAGUUCGAUGCCACAGUACUUGCACUUUUCUAUCAUCGAUGUUCCUGGGGCAUUGUUCAGCCUGUGGAUGGUGGAUGCAGCUGUCCCAGUCAUCGUUCGUGAAUAGUUCACAUUCUUAGCUCUGUGAUUCUGUGUGUACCCAGGAACAUGGAUCGGUGCCACCAGUUGUUCGCUAUUCCUCCACUGCAGACGACCGAGUACCGCAAAGACUUUGAACAGUCACCACCGUAGCACGAAAGUGUCGAUUGCAGGACCUUUGACGCAGUACAUGUACUCGUAAUGGGACGUAGCAGGCGGACUGGCUGUGACGCACCUUCGC